GCAGAACACUGUAUUAAGACAGCAGUGAAAAGGUCAGGGGCGGAGACACUCACGGCCUCGAUCUCUUCUUCCUCUUCAUCGAUGGUGGAGACUGUGACCGAGCUGAACUUGCCCAUGUCCUUCGUCCUUUUGGUCAUCAUCACCUGAGAGAACGUGAAGGAGAUGUUCUUUUGAGUCGAGCUACGUCGGGUUUAUGGGGAGAAGGGUUACUUAACACUGCUUGCGGAAGACUACCCUGCUCCCGUCGAAAAAGCCUUGUCCAAACUUGACCACAGCCCCAUCCACAAUGAAGGUCACAGGAGCGUUCUUCUGCUGGUGCUGAUAGAAAAGGAGGAGUCCGCACCUGGAAAUGUGCUGGAACACUAAGUGCUUAACAAAUACCACGAUUCUUAUGAGUGCCAACUUUUCACUUUGGGCACGGAGGAGAACUUGGAGCGUUGAGGGGGUGUGGGACAGAGACAAGGAAAAACAGGAAAGAAAAAGAGGAGGGGAGAGAAGGAAAGGAGA